AACUGUAAACAUACGGUGGUGGGGGAGACUUGUAGUCAACCUUAGGGGCGGGAGAGUAAUAUGGUGGUGGUGGAGAGCUGUAGACGUAUGGUGCUGGAGGAGACUUGUAGUCUACCUUAGGGGCUGGCGAGUAGUAUGGUGGUGGUGGAGAACUGUAAACAUACGGUGGUGGGGGAGACUUGUAGUCAACCUUAGGGGCUCGUAGAGUAAUAUGGUGGUGGUGGAGAGCUGUAGACGUAUGGUGGAGGAGGAGACUUGUAUACAACCUUAGGGGAUGGAGAAUAGUACGGUGGUGGUGGGGAACUGUAAACAUAUGGUGGUGGAGGAGACUUGUAGUCUACCUUUGGGGAUGGAGAGUAGUAUGGUGGUGGUGGAGAGCUGUAGACGUAUGGUGGAGGAGGAGACUUGUAUACAACCUUAGGGGAUGGAGAGUAGUACGGUGGUGGUGGGGAACUGUAAACAUAUGGUGGUGGAGGAGACUUGUAGUCUACCUUAGGGGAUGGAGAGUAGUAUGGUGGUGGUGGAGAACUAUAGACAUAUGGAGGAGGAGGAGACUUGUAUACAACCUUAGGGGAUGGAGAAUAGUAUGGUGGUGGUGGAGAGCUGUAAACAUACGGUGGUGGAGGAGACUUGUAGUGAACCUUAGGUGUUGGAGAGUAAUAUGGUGGUGGUGGAGAACUGUAAACAUAUGGUGGUGGAGGAGACUUGUAUACAACCUUAGGAGAUGGAGAGUAAUAUGGUGGUGGUGGAGAGUUAUAGACGUAUGGGGGAGGAGAAGACUUGUAUACGACCUUUGGAGAUGGGGAAUAACAUGGAGGAGGUGGUGGACACACACAUACAUGUGGGUGUGGUGGAGAUUUGUAGUGUACUUUAGGAGAAGGUGAGUAGUAUGGAGGUGGUGGAGAACUGUAAACAUAUGGUGGUGGAGGAGAUUUGUAGUGUACUUUAGGUGAAGGUGAAUAAUAUGGUGGUGGUGGAGAACUGUAC
rnacentral:lncRNA from 1 species